AACGGCCAUAUCAUGCUGAAUAUACCGGUUCUCGUUAGAUCACCGAAGUCAAGUCAUUCGAGGGUGGGUGGGAAAGGGCAUCUGAGCCAAAGAGCUUUUAUCCCCAUUUUCUAAAGCAUCAUUGGGCGCGGUCAGUACUGGGUGGGUAACCACCUGGGGGAACGCCGCGUGCCGU